rnacentral:rRNA from 1 species
UACGAAGGGGGCUAGCGUUGUUCGGAAUUACUGGGCGUAAAGCGUAUGCAGGCGGACUUUUAAGUCGGGGGUGAAAUCCCUCGGCUCAACUGAGGAAUUGCCUUCGAUACUGUUCGGCUUGAGUCCUGGAGAGGGUAGCGGAAUUCCCGGUGUAGCGGUGAAAUGCGUAGAGACCGGGAAGAACACCAGUGGCGAAGGCGGCUACCUGGACAGGUACUGACGCUGAAGCGCGAAAGCUAGGGGAGCAAACAGG